rnacentral:rRNA from 1 species
AUCGACGAGUUUGAUCCUGGCUCAGAUUGAACGCUGGCGGAAUGCUUUACACAUGCAAGUCGAGCGGCAGCGCGGGGGCAACCCUGGCGGCGAGCGGCGAACGGGUGAGUAACAUAUCGGAACGUACCCAGUCGUGGGGGAUAACUAUCCGAAAGGAUAGCUAAUACCGCAUACGUCCUGAGGGAGAAAGCGGGGGAUCGCAAGACCUCGCGCGAUUGGAGCGGCCGAUAUCGGAUUAGCUAGUUGGUGGGGUAAAGGCUCACCAAGGCGACGAUCCGUAGCGGGUCUGAGAGGACGACCCGCCACACUGGAACUGAGACACGGUCCAGACUCCUACGGGAGGCAGCAGGUGGGGUAAUUUUGGACAAUGGGGGCAACCCUGAUCCAGCCAUUCCGCGUGAGUGAAGAAGGCCUUCGGGUUGUAAAGCUCUUUCAGCAGGAACGAAACGGUGGUCCCUAAUACGGACUACUAAUGACGGUACCUGAAGAAGAAGCACCGGCUAACUACGUG